UACAGAGGUCCCAAGCGUUGUUCGGAUUCACUGGGCGUAAAGGGUGCGUAGGUGGUCAGGUAAGUCGGAUGUGAAAUCUCCGAGCUCAACUCGGAAACUGCAUUGGAAACUACCUGGCUCGAGGGUUGGAGGGGGGACUGGAAUGCUUGGUGUAGCAGUGAAAUGCGUAGAUAUCAAGCGGAACACCAGUGGCGAAGGCGAGUCCCUGGACAACUCCUGACACUGAUGCACGAAAGCGUGGGGAGCGAACCGG
rnacentral:rRNA from 1 species